CCGCCAGCUCUAGUCGCUGCGCCUCGCGGAGCUGACCUGGGAAGUGAUGGAUUUAUAGCCCCGGCAAUCUCGCCAUCAGCUCCAGCUUUUCCCAACAGCCCCAACCCGCUUUCCCGGUCAGUCCCUGACCGUGGAUCCGAGGCAGACUGCCUGCUGGGGUGCGCAGGGCGCGAUGCGAGUGUUUUGGUUGUUACCCUCUGAAGACAUAAGGACUGUGAUGUCUGGAGCUCGUGCAGCCAUUUUGUGACCAUGAAGGAAGCUCCCAUAUGCAACGUACAACUGAGUGGAAUGACAGAAAUAAUUCUGGCCUUUGAUGGUCUUGCUAAGCUGCUGGAUUAACCGACCCCAUAGCUGUCCUCCCUCAAGACUUCGUAUGGAUGCCUUUGCUGCUGUGUCCCAUAGCAGGGCAAGUCCAGGAGUAGGAAAACCAGUUUGGAAGCUGUAGC